AUUGAACGCUGGCGGCGUGCUUAACACAUGCAAGUCGAGCGGUAACGCGGGAGCAAUCCUGGCGACGAGCGGCGAACGGGUGAGUAAUGCUUCGGAAUCUGCCCUUUAGUGGGGAAUAACCAGCCGAAAGGUUGGCUAAUACCGCAUACGCCCUUCUUUUAAUUAAGAGGGGGAAAGCAGGGGAUCGUAAGACCUUGCGCUGUUGGAUGAGCCGAAGUCGGAUUAGCUAGUUGGUAGGGAACGGCCUACCAAGGCGACAAUCCGUAGCUGGUCUGAGAGGACGACCAGCCACACUGGGACUGGGACACGGCCCAGACUCCUACGGGAGGCAGCAGUGGGGAAUAUUGGACAAUGGGGAAACCCUGAUCCAGCGACGCCGCGUGUGUGAAGAAGGCCUGCGGGUUGUAAAGCACUUUUAGGNGGGAUGAAAAGCCUGAGGCUAAUACCCUCUGGUCUUGACCUAACCAAAGAAAAGCACCGGCUAACUCUGUGCCAGCCG
rnacentral:rRNA from 1 species